UUUGUCUGCUUGGUCCUGGCACGAGCCUGCCAGUUAGAGCUGUGUCCGCCUUACGGUUAGUACGAUUUAGUUAGGAUCCUUGUGUGCUUUGUGGCUAUUAUGGUAUAGUUCCUUGUCCGAUUGAUCAUUCAUGCCGACGCGGUGCCGCAGCUAAACAGCUAAAACCAACUCUAAACACACACAUACACAACACGACCUGGACACACAGAUACAUAAGAUAAGCAAAAAUCUCCAAGCAUCCCAUGCACUACACCAGCAGCAGCAGUAGUCGACGCGUGUAACAGAGAAGAAGAAGAAGAAGAAGAGGAGAAGGAAAAACCUAUUUAAAAGAAAAACCCAGAGGACCACAACCGCUAUUGCAUAAAGCGAAAGUAUCGUAGCUGUUUUAUAUUGACAUUUUACAAAAGAAAAGGAAAACUCUGCAUAACCGCUAAAGGAAGCGACGAACCCCAAACUCGCGCAAAAAAAAACAAAAGAACGAAGCAAAAAAAAAAAACAAAAACCCCACAACACUCCUUCGCAAGAGCCUGAGACUGAGCGACGACAACGACAGCAAGGUGGUGGUGGUGUGUGAUAGGCAGCAGCUGCUCAACGUUUGCCAAAUUCUGUCCCCGUCACCAGAGCUGUCAGUGCUGGGGUACCGGUACGUACAGGGGGCAGGCACGACGAUGCUGGCCAUGUCGACGCUGAUGAUGCCGGCACCGACGAUGGCGCUCGGCGCGCCGCAGCUGGCGGUCGGCCCGCACCAGAAGCCGCCGGAAGCGAAGCUGCUCGCCAUCCAUCCGGCCCACACGCAAACGCAAACCACUCCCCAGCAUCAGCUGCAGGCGCAACAGCAGCAGCAGCAGCAGCAGGCGCAACAGCAGCAGCAGGUGGCGGCGCAGCAGCAGCAAGUGGCGGCGCAACAGCAUCAGCAGCAGCUUCAGCAACUGUCUGCAAUUAAGCAAGAGCAUUACCACAUAUUCGUGGGUGAUUUGAGCCCGGAAAUCGAAACGCAAACCCUGAAGGAAGCAUUCGCCCCGUUCGGAGACAUAUCUGAUUGUCGCGUUGUUAGGGACCCUCAAACAUUAAAAUCAAAAGGAUACGGAUUUGUUUCGUUCGUAAAGAAAACGGAAGCGGAAAAUGCAAUUGCGGCUAUGAAUGGGCAAUGGCUUGGUUCGAGGAGUAUUCGAACUAAUUGGGCAACUAGGAAACCCCCUGCAAGCAAAAACGAAAUCAACGCAAAGCCACUGACAUUCGAUGAGGUGUACAAUCAAAGCAGCCCGACCAACUGCACCGUCUACUGUGGUGGGAUCGGUGGCACACUGGCGGGUGGAUUGAAUGAGGACAUUUUGCAGAAAACCUUCUCACCGUUCGGCACCAUACAGGAGAUCCGGGUGUUCAAGGACAAGGGCUACGCAUUCGUAAGGUUCUCCACGAAGGAGGCGGCCACUCACGCCAUCGUUGCGGUGCACAACUCCGAAAUCAAUUCCCAAACGGUCAAAUGCUCGUGGGGCAAGGAGAGCGGCGAUCCGAACAAUGCGCCCUCGCUGGCCAGUCAAGCGCUCAGCCAGACCGGCUUCCCGUUCAACACGGCGUACGGCCAGCAGGUAGCUGGGUACUGGUAUCCGCCGGCUCCCGCCUACCCAGCAACGCCGGCACCGGCUGCCACACCGCUGCAGGGCCAGUUCCUGCAAGGAAUGCAGGGCUACACGUACGGCCAGUUUGCCGGAUACCAGCAAGGAUACAUGGGCAUGGGCAUGCAGAUUCCCGGAGCCUGGCCAGCCGUACCGGCACAGGCGCAACUGCCGACUGCCGCCCAGCAGAUCACGGCCCAGAGCGUUGGCGGAGCGCUGCCCCAGACGGCCGGGGUCGUCGCCUACCCGAUGCAGCAGUUCCAGCCGGGCUUAUUGCACCCAGCGUACGCUAAAACUGUCUAGAAUGCUUUUUGCCAUUGUUGCAAAUCCACGCGAGACCCCUAUCCUAUCGCCGUCUAUCCUCUCGUUGCCAUGCGGGUGCGUACAAGUACGCAUCGUAAACAAGAAAACAAAAGUUGACUUUUUCUUUAGUAACUAUGCUUUCCAUUCCGUUUCGUAGCUCACACCGUUAGCUGAAGACGAAUGGUUAGCGCCAAGUCUUCUAGUGUAGCUUCCCUGAUGGCCAUCACUGUGCGGCUGUGUCUCACAGCGUAAUUAGAAUGCAGAGGGAGAGGGAGAGAGAGAGUGGAAAAGAAAGUAUUUGAAGAUUUUUCAAAACCAACAAAACAAAUCAGCCUGUUCAUCUAACUAUGUACACACACUCACACGUACGCACUCAAACACAAACACACACAACUCUACAGACAAGCGAAUACGAUUCCGGUGGUACAAACGAAAAAAAAAAAAACAACAAACAAACAAACACAUAAAACGCGAAGCAUCUAUAUAUGCACAAGCGUGCGGCCAUCCGCAUGGUUGUGAUGAACUAGCAAAUGAAACGAUGUGAGACCAGAACAACAGCAACAGAACAACAGACAUACAAAAAUGUAGAAAAAAAAAAACAAACAAAAAAAAGGAAAAAUUAAACUAAAAUAAAAUGCAAAAAAAAUUAUAACAUCCCCUUACUACUGUAGUUAUGACAGUGGUUGCUGAAAACUAUUUCAAAACAGACCGUGCAAGACGGCGGGAUUGCGAAGAAAAAGGAGCAAACAGAAGGGGAAAACAGUUGAGCUACUACAGGCUGAUAGUUAGCAAACGUCAUCACUUAAUCCAAUCAUCUAUCCAACAGAAGAAACAAACAACCCGGUAGCAUAGACAGACAGACAGACAGGCAGAAGCGCAUGAGUGCGCGUAUAUAUAUAUAUAAAAAUAUAUAUUGAGCAAAAAACCAUGAUAGGCAUAUGUGUGGGAACAUGGACGGAUGGGGGGAGGGCGGCCGGCGCAGAAAGACGAAGAAAGCACUAACAAUUUUACUCCUGAUAUUUUUCAUGAUAGAUAGUACUCAUUAAAUGAAACCACACGCAACGCUCCAGACACAGCAACCGGGUGUGUGGCACACUUAGGGCAUUUACAUGGCGAAACUGAUUUUUACAGCCAAGCGCAGGUGGUGCAAAACUACGUAGAACAAAACAAAACAUAAACAGAAACAAUGAAGAGUGAAAAAGCAAAACGAAAACACACGACACCCCCCUCCCGCCUCCUCUCUUCCCUACAACACCCCCGUUACAUCGGGUGGGGGUGUGCGGGAAAUGGGGCGGGUGUGUGUGUGUGUGUGUGUGUGCGUGGUGCCGACAGCAGAAACACUUUGUGAAAACAAUAAUGAUUCGUCCAACGCUAAACGCUAAACUUACCGGUUGACAGACAUGACCAGAGAUAGAGAGAGAAAGAGAGAGAGAGAGAGAGAGAAAAGGGAAAAAGAGAGAAGUAGAAUUUAUCGCACUAGCGGGACCCGGUGGUACCGGAUGGUUUUGAGAUGUAACAACAAUGACUUGGUAGGCUUUAGGUUUCAGGCAGACAGGCAUUUCUUUUCUUCUUUUCAUCUUCUUCUUCUUCUUGUUUGAUCAUUUCUCAGUAUCAUUUAUCGCUUACGCGCGCGCAGCGCGAGCGAAGGAACGAACCCAGUGGCAGUUGCAAACAGGCAAGACUGAGGAAGUACAACCAAUGCAGGAGUUGUCGCGGAUGCAGAUUUCGGCCUCUCCGCCGCUCUUCGUUAGAACAUUGGUGCGAUGUAUGGGCACCUUUUGCAGUAUUGCCGAACCAGAACUUCCACUUGCACUUAGCGCCAAAACGGUUGGCAAAGUUUGCUGCCUGGGUUUGCGUAUCAUAACCGAUGUUUAUGUUCCAUUUUAAGGCUGUUUAUUUUGUCUCGUAAUUGAGUGACUGUUGUAAUGUAUUGCAUUUUGUAGGGUUUUUCAUAUUACAGCAGAUGUAUUUCCUCCUCUUUUUUUGCAGAUUUUUGUAUCAUAUUUGGAGCGUGUUUUUGUUGUUGUGUUAGAUCACUGACAAACUGGCUUUUUUAAAUGUGUAGUGUAAAACUGUUAUACUGUAUGCAAACUACUAAUGCUCUCUGCCAAUAAGAAAUCGUAUUACUCGUGUUUUUGUUUUUCCUUUUUUGUUUCGUUUUUACCGCACACUUACGGACCGUUGUGUGCCGUCGCGUGUGACUUUUGUGCAUACACUCUAGUGUUGUUGUACUGUUGUCCUUAGGUUUUGCCCUUCAAUUCAUUUGAUAUAUAUACAUAUAGUUAUCUGUUUUAUUGACAACCCCAAACGCGUCGUUCCGGUAGUUCCGGAUUUGCACGGAAAACCUGGACACUGCGCGAACACAAAAACACGUAUGUGUAAUGUAUGCGGAAUGGUAUUAACAAAAAUUCCAAAACUGCUAUAUAUAUUUUUUAUUAUUUUACCAAUUUUUGCGAAUAUACAAUGUUUUAUAUAAGAGGAAAAAACUCGAAGGAGAAGCAAAAUGAAUAUAAAAAUAAAUAAAAAAAAAACAUUUGUUUAGACCAAAUAUUUUUAAAAUAAAUGAAAGAAAACAACAGUGUCAAUACAAUCAAAAUUGCAUAGAGAACAAAACGAAGUGGAAGAAGAAGAAGAAGAAGAAAGAGAAGCAGAAGUAAAAAUACAUUCAUUUGAAAACCAUUGUGAUGAAAACUAUAACACAACAAAAUAAACAUUAAACCAACAUUGAUCCAUUGAACAGGAAGGCAAAGCGUAGCAAGAAGGGUAGCAAGUUAGAGAGAACUACUAGGGAAAAGUAAUCCAAGAUGAACAUUCAAUGAUGUUUACUCAAACGAAGAAGAGGAUGAAACGACACUGGAAUGAUAAAUUAUAUUGACGACUAAAGAAAACAAUACAUAUAUAUAUAUAUAUGAAAGUAAAUAAAUAAAUAUAUAUAAUUAUAUAUAUAUUAUAUAUAUAGAGGAGCAUCAUGAAGCUCUAGAAUUAAACAUACACUUAUACAUAUACACAAAAUAGAUAGGAGAUAUUUAAUUAACUGUGAACAAUUUACCAAACAACAACAGCAACAUAAACAGCAAACAAAACAAACAAAAAAGGUGGAGCUCUAUAUAUUGAAAUCGUAUUUGGCUCUAGACAAACAAACCUAGAUAAAUAUGAUGGUUUUUUGAAAUGGGAAACACACACACAUACGCGGAAACUAAAUAACGGCAAAACAUCUUUACACAUGAACAAACGCAUAGGAUUACAUAGAGGAAACAGAAACAAAGGAAAAACUUUCAAAACCAAACUCUUCUAAAAAGCUGCAAACGAACCCGUUUGAAAUGUUGUAUUGUCUUGAGUACAGAAAGAAAGAAAAAAAACACACACACACACACACACAACAGCACACAUACAGACGCGUACACAUGUAUUGAAGUAAAUUACAACUCGCAAUUGAAUAAAGAGUUAGUGAAUAGUGUUAAAAUAACGGGGUUUAAACCUAGAACAAACGCGUAAAAUUAAGCAAAAACACACAGUAAGAGUAAACACAGCAGUAAAAAAGAAACCGAAACUCAAUCAAAAGCAAAGCAAGAAGAAAAAAGCACAUACAAACACAUCUAAUAAAUUCACAAUUACAGAAGAAGAAACAAGAAACCAAUCAAAGAGCAAAAGAGCAAAUAACAAACAUGAAGCAAUUAUUCAAAAACCUAGCGCGCAGCUAACCCGACAGCAGCAAACCGUUGGAGCGCAAUUUAUUAAAGCAAAAGCAACUUUAAAAGGUAUUGGAAAUUGGAUAGAAGCAAUGGCAGAGGAGGGAAAGCAAUUGGUGCAAUGAAAGAUGAAGGAAUGUAGAGGAGGACAGAAUGAGUGAGUCAUUCGAAAAAUCAUUUUAUCGACUCCUCGGUCCCCGAUUCUCUCUGCCACCAUCCCUUUUUCCCGAUGUGAUGUUGUCGUUGCGGGAAGGAAGGUGGAAAACAACGGUGCGGCAAACUAACCCAGCGCGGGAGAGGACUGCCGCACUGGUAAAUGUCUUGUACAUUGUAGAUGCACAUCAUUUUAAUGUAUUUCGUUUCGAGAGCGAACCCAUUUUUGCUUGGUAACGUACUACUGUAUUUGAUUUCUUAGGGCGUUGCUUUGGACCAACUGUAUCACACAGUUGCCGUUAGAAUAUGAGUUGGGAAACAUGUUUGAUUUGUUUGAAUGUGCCGAUGGUUGAUACAUCAAUUUCUACUCUAGCAAUUUAACCAAAACGAAACAAAACAAACCAAACCAGUGACCAGUGUAGUAGCAAUUUUCAUUGUGACGACGGUGGCAAGGAUGAAAAACCAAAACACAAGAUGGUAGUGACAGUAAUGGUGUAUGAACUAUACAGAGAGAGAGAGAGAGAGAGAAACAAAAAGAGAACAGAAAGAGAAAAGAAAGCGCAGAAAAUAGUAAUGCAAAGCAAACAAGUCUUCUUACUAUUGGACGAGAUCCCUAAGACACAUUAGAGGAGAUUCCCAUAUCUCGUAUAUUAAAAUAAUAUAUUUACAUAUAUAUACACACACAAACACACGCACAGACACACCCACACACACACACGUACACACAUGGAGUCCCUAUGACAAAAAAAACACACACACACACGGAAAUAAGACGGAAAAUGGAAGAAAAAGGUGUUUGUUACUUUAUUUACAACGUAUUUGAACGACGUAUUUGAUUGUAUUUCAGUUGGUGUGUAGUAGCCCUUUUUGGAGGAUGGUUUUGAGUUUUAGAUAAACAUAUAUACAUACAUAUAUUGCGUAUAGUUUGGUAAACCUACCUUCAGCCAAAACGACGCGAGUACGCGAGAGAAACGUAGCACAGCCGUGCAGAAUCUUAAACAACCUUUAACAAUUUAAUCAUUAACGAACCGAACAGAACAGACUUUCUCGGUAGGCUAGACUUUCUACAAACACUAAUAAAAAAAAAAGAGGCGGACGCGCCAGACCAGACUAAGGGCAUUAAUGAAGCAGGUGUAGCAGCAACCAUCUGUUAAACACUGCAACGCUGCAACACACAGCACUAAAAUAAAGCACCACAAGCGAGGGAUUAGGAAAGUAAAACAGGAAGGAUGGAAGAAACGCAACAACAUAAGUAAAUAAGAUACUAAUCAAUUAAACCUUACCAUUUAAAGCAACAGAAACUAACAGAAUAAAAAAGAAAUCCAAAUUAAUAAAGAAACAAGCAAACAAAACCCACACAUACACACAAACACAGCAACAAACAAACGAACAAAGUCAACAGAAACAACAACCAUUUAUAUAGCGAUUAAAAUAAGGAUGGAGAGUGAGCCAAGCUAAAGCUCCCAUAGAACCACACACAGACAAAAAAAACACAUAGAAAACAAGUUUACCAGUGCGAAUUAUUAGAUAGGUAUUGGAAUCUUUCAAUGAAGUAAAAUCAAACGAGAACCUACAAGAAGUAGCAAGAGAGAUAAAACUAAACCACUAAAAACAUAAACAAAUACACACACACACAUAUACACAUAUACAACAAGCACCAUACAACAAUCGAGCAAAAUCGAAACAAUUGAAACAUGAAUCAAAUGUAUUAAUUUGGCCUUUCUUCCCAUAACUCAUCAGCCAAGCCCCUUCCCCCCAGUUUUUACGCGUGUGUGUGUGUGUGUGAUGCAGAACAAUCUUUAGUAAUGUAUUUGCGAAAACAAAAGCCACAAUAGAGUACCGGAUCCAUACACCAGGAGCAAAUGAAUAUUUAAAUUACAAAACUCAGCAGCACACAAAAAACACACACAUACACACAAAACAAAGAAGCAAGCUAAGAAAUGUACUAAAAACUAUUGACAGAAACUCUAAUUAAAUGCAAAAAAAUAAUACAAGUUUGGGUUGUGAUGGAAUCGACGACACUCAUGCACCGAGAAACAUGGAGAAGAAAAGGUGGCCAAUGAGGAGAAUCAACAAAGGGGGAAAAAGGGAAUGCACGUGCGAGAGUGUAUAAAUAUGUAAAACACAAUACACGGAUUUGUUGAUUGCGGACAGUAGAGUAGUAGCCGCUGCUAACAAACUAACCAGAGCGCGGACGACGUCCCAGGAACGUUCUUAAAAGAUAGAAAGGUCUAUUUUUAGUGCAUAUUGUAGCUGAUGAUUUGAGUAUUAAACUGAACCGAACCAAUAGGAACGUUUUCUUUUCUGUCUGUCAGUCUCUCGCAACUCUCUCUCUCUCUCUCUCUCUCUCUUUCGCUUUCUUAGUGGGGGCUAGCGGGAGUAUGUCUUUGAGAAGAGAGAGAGAGAUAGAGAGGGAGAGAGAGAGAGAGAAAGAGAGAGAGAGAGAUAGAGAGAGAGAAAGGAUGGGUGCUUGAUAGCAACCGGAACCGGAGUGAAGACACUUUUUCAUAGCAAGCAAAGCAAACCAAUUAGAUAGCAAUAGGAAAAUUCUACCGUCGGGCAAUAUAUAUAUACACAUGUGGCAAGCGUUUGUCGGAUGAUGUGAAUGAAUUGAUUUACCGCAAACACUUUACUAAAACAACCUUAACCUUAACCAGCAAAACUAAGCAACAGAAGAAUGGCAAUCGAUAUUAAAAUGCAAGAUGGAGCAGAACCACUGUGUUACCAGUUACUAUAAUACGGGAGACAUAGCAGAAAGGGAAGGAAUAGGGAAGGAAGGCUUUCAUGGUAGCGAAGCACAACACUGCAAUUAAGCGACUACUACUACUACUACUCCUACUACUACUAAUACUACAGCUACUACUACACCUACUAUUAAGCAAUCUACACAAACACGCACACAGACACAACACAACAACAGAAAGAGCAACAGAAGUAAACCCAACUAAUCCUACCAUCUAAGAACUUCUCUACCAAGCUACUGUAAGUAUUUACUGAAGAAAAACAAACAAACAAACUCUAUCCAACAUAAACGUCAAACAAAGACAAACACACACAAACACACACGAACACACUGCUAGUGAUUACUGAAUACUAUUAACGAUUCCGAUGCCUACCUCUGACGGGAGGAGGGAAGCACACCACCACGUGGAACUGAACUACUGUGAUUUCCUUUUGUUUUCUGCUUAACAAAAACAAAAACAAAACAAAAACGAUUUUUCCCCCCGUUUUGGACCCCUUAUACUCUACUGAUAGCUCCCGAGAGCCAACUCUCUCCCCCCCAUCUAGGUUGUUUGUUCAACAUUGCUCAGCUCGAUGAUGAUAGCUCGUUGAUUGUUUAAAACCACUUCGUUGUUGAGUUCGUUAUUUAGAAAAAUUGAAUUGACUUUCGUGUGAGACAAGCAAAGUGCAGGAGAAAAACAGAAACAAGAAACAAGCGAAUCUAUUUCACUGGAGGAAGAAGAAGGCAAGAAAGGUAGGGAGCCAGCUAAUCCAGCUAAGCAAGCGGCACAAGCCAUGGUUAAGCGUGUGGUUCGGGUAUUACGCUGAUAUUAUUAAGGUAUAUUAAAUAAGGCCGCCAUUCAUCACCACUAUCCCGGGUGCAAGCGGGCAAAACACAGUUGUGUGCAAAUUGUUGUGUUGGAUCGACGUGGAAAAGAGAGACAAAAAAAACAAAACAAAACUAAACUAUAUGAAAAGCAACGAUCUCGGUUAGUUUUUAAUCGGCAAAGCAAGCGUGCAAUUACAGUAGAGAAUUUAUUGAACUUAGUAAACCAACCAGACCGCCACACCGGACAGACACGCACGGAUAUGGGGAUGGGAGCGAGCGACGCAUUCGUUCGCGUAGGGUGGAAAUCAUAUGCCAAGCUUUUGAUACACUUCACCUCACACUCGGUUUGGGUUUGUGGGUUCUAUCAGACAGGACAUACACCGGACAUGCACAUGUGCUCCCCAUAGUUGUCGCCGUCGUCGUCGUCUUCGUGCUCGGUUUUGAGUGCUAUUGAAUUUAAUGGCGAACUGCCAAAUGAUCACGAAACACUAAACAGCAUUAAGAAAGUAAGAAGAGAAAGAAGAAGAAGAAAAACAAGAGCUAUGUGAAACCAGAAACAAAAUAAGAAGGGGAGGGUUGAAACCAGAGUGUCGAAGAAUUAUUAAGUAUUACAUUAAGGAAAACAAUGAAACAAACAAAAACCAACACAAAAAAAAACACACACACUUGUAAUCGCAAUUGAAUGAGGAAAGCUAUUUGUAAGGUACACAAAAAAGAAGACAAAAGAAUACAUAAUACAUGCCACUACAACACACGAACAUUAUUAUUAAAUAUUGACAAAACAAGAAGCAAGAAAAGAAAAAAAACACAAACAAACAAACAAAUCAAACAUAUUAUAUUUAUAAAUGGAACGAAACAAUGAACUGUUUGUAAAACACACACAUACAUAUUUGCUGCUAUAAUAAUGGUUUGAAAGAAGAAGAAAGGGCAAGGGCAAAUCGUAGCAUAAGUGCGAGGAAACAUGAGAAUGUUCAGUGCGCAAGUUUCUGCGUUAAUACUUUAAAAUGCAAUUUCGGGGUAAGUUGGAAAGUGAAUUAGGAUAUGGAUAAAGAAGGAAAAAAACAUCACAGAACACACAUACAAACACAUACAAAACCAAAAGCACAUCGUCUCCGCAAGACAUUUAAAUGAGCAAACGGAUUGAGGUGUGUUGCACUUACUCUCAUCCCUACUUUGGAGGACUGAACCAAGUCGAAAGGAAGCGAAACAAUGAAACUAACAUGUUAAAUGCAAUAAGGUAAAACAAAAAAAACAGUGGGAAAAAUAUAAUACACACAAAGAACAACACUUACACAGGCUAAGGGUAUAAAAUGUAAGCGAAACAUUCAUAAAAUCAAGAGAAAGCUCCACCAUUGCAACAACCGAAAUACAGACACACAUAAAUACACAACAUAAACAACACAUGUUAGCACAUUAUAGAUGUAGACGCACAUAUGAAUUAAAAAAAAAACAAAUAAAAGGAGAAUAAAAAAAGACAAGAAACACACACCCCCCAAAAAUGUGUAUCAUUGCAUUGAGAUAAACAUGUAGCCCCAUGCUUAAACCGGUGAUAGUUUACUUGACGCUGCGUCCUAUAGGAAUUGGAAACAGAUGAAUUAAACUACCGCCAUCAAAUCAGAUACAAAAAAUAAACACAUAUUUAAUGAUUUACCCCACAAUUGAAUACAACAAAAUACAUUAUUUUAAACAUUUUAGUUAAACACCUCGCAACAUUGGAGUGAUUUGGCUGAUAAUUGGUUCGUUUUUAACACUUAAACAGCACUUUUCUAAACAACGAUAAAAAGGCAACCCUCACAACACUCAACAUGUGAUUAGACCGACGUGGGACUAUUUGGAGAUUUGUGUGUGUGUGUACAGUUGUUUACAAAAGUACAGUUCAAUUCAAACUACUAGACGUAAGAAAGUAUACAACAUACGCACACACACACACAAACACACAAACACGAAUACAGCAUACACAAACAAUUGCAAGGGCAACAACAAACUACAUUAAAACACAAAAAAGAGAGUGAAAAAUAUAUACCAAACCAAUGUUUGCAAAUCUAUAAUUUUACAAGUACGAUAUAAAGAAAACAAAACAUAACGAAACAGAAAGAAAGAAAAUAGCGACAGGCAAUAGCUGCUAUAAACGAAGCGAGGGGAAAAACAAGAGAAGCAACUACAAUGUGCUAAGCUGUUUUAAAAUGAAUUAAAUAUAUAUACACACACACACAUAUAUAUCUGCAUAUUGCGAAAUGAGGCCCCAAAUUUGGGUAACGAGAUGACUCAGUAAUAGUCAAAUUAUGUGCACGGAAAGGAGGCAUGCACGGAAUCGCAGCAUAAGCGGAAACAAUUGAACCAUGAAAUCCAAAAAAAAACGAAAUUAAAAAACAAACAAACCAAACCAAAACAGCAAAAACAACAACAACAACAAAUCAACCAUAAACUACUACAGUUGUAUUGACACGAAAAUAUCAAUAAAACAUGAUGAUUAACAAGCAA